UACGUAGGGCGCGAGCGUUGUCCGGAAUUAUUGGGCGUAAAGAGCUCGUAGGUGGUUUGUUGCGUCUGCCGUGAAAACCCGAGGCUUAACCUCGUGGCUUGCGGUGGAUACGGGCAGACUUGAGGUAGGUAGGGAGAAUGGAAUUCCCGGUGUAGCGGUGAAAUGCGCAGAUAUCGGGAGGAACACCGGUGGCGAAGGCGGUUUUCUGGGCCUUACCUGACGCUGAGGAGCGAAAGCGUGGGGAGCGAUCCGG
rnacentral:rRNA from 1 species